rnacentral:rRNA from 1 species
UACGUAGGCAGCAAGCGUUGUUCGGAAUUACUGGGCGUAAAGAGUGUGUAGGCGGUGCUCUAAGUUCGGUGUGAAAUCUCCCGGCUUAACUGGGAGGGUGCGCCGGAAACUGGAGUGCUUGAGCGUGGGAGAGGAAAGCGGAAUUCCUGGUGUAGCGGUGAAAUGCGUAGAUAUCGGGAGGAACACCAGUGGCGAAGGCGGCGAUCUGGGAAGAUACUGACGCUGAGGUGCGAAAGCGUGGGGAGCAAACAGG